CCUCCCCCCCGUCAUCUCCCAGGGGGGUUGCGCCAGCAGAGAUGACGGUGGGGAUGGCGGCCACGGUGCGGAUGGUGAUGGUGAAGAUGAUGCACCGGGGAGCCCAGGUUUUGGGGCUGCCUCCCCCGGGGGCCGGCGGCGGGGGGGGAUCUGGGGGUGACGCCUCUGGGCGGCCCGUCCCGGCCCAUCCCACCCGUCCCGGCUGAUGCAACCGGUCGUGGCACGCAGGACCCUGGCCCCCCCGCCAUGCAGAAGACCCGGCCAGUGCUGGGGGCAGACACCAGGCCCCUCCAGGAGGAUCCAUCCCCCCGCCCUGCCUGGGCCAGUAAAGUCCAGUACAUCCUGGCCCAGCUGGGCUUCUCCGUGGGGCUGGGCAACGUCUGGCGCUUCCCCUACCUCUGCCACCAGAACGGGGGCGGUGCCUUCCUCCUGCUAUACCUGCUGCUCCUCUUCCUCCUGGGCAUCCCCCUGCUCUUCCUGGAGCUGGCGGCUGGGCAGUGCCUGCGUCAGGGCAGCAUCGGUGUCUGGAGGAGCAUCAGUCCCCGCCUGGCUGGCAUUGGGCUGGCCAGCUGCUUGGUGUGCAUGUGUGUGGCGCUGUACUACAACGUGAUUAUCGCCUGGAGCCUCAUCUACCUCGCCCGCUCCUUCCAGCAUCCCCUGCCCUGGCAGAGCUGCCCCAGCGCCGGCCCCAACCGCACAGAACCCGAGUGCGCCCUGAGCUCACCCACCACCUAUUUCUGGUACCGGCAGACACUGGACGUCACCCCCGAGAUGGGGGUUGGGGGGGGGCUUCAGCCAGCCUUGGUGGGGGGGCUCCUGGGGGCCUGGGCCCUGGUGGGGGCCUCCCUGCUCAAAGGCAUCAAGUCCUCGGGAAAGGUGCUGUAUGUGAGCACCCUCUUCCCCUACGUCGUCCUCUUCUGCCUCCUGGUGCGGGGGCUGCUGCUCGAGGGGGCCCCCGAGGGCAUCCGCAUCAUGUUCACCCCCAAGGUGUCGGCGUGGGGCACGGGCCAGGCCUGGCGGCAAGCGGCCACCCAGGUCUUCUUCGCGCUGGGGCUGGGCUUCGGCAGCGUCAUCGCCUACGCCAGCUACGGCGCGCGCCGCGGCGACUGCCACCGCGACGCCGUGCUGGUGGCCGGGCUCAACGCCCUCACCUCCCUCCUGGCCACCCUCGUCGUCUUCGCCGUCCUGGGCGCCCGUGCCACCCGCCGCACGCGGCACUGCCUCCACAGGAACGUGGAGUUGGUGUCGCGGGCACUGGUGGCGGGGGGGCUGCCUGAGACUGCCCGGCCCCCCAGGAACCUCACGGCCUUGGCGGCCCCCCAGUACAGUGCCUGGCUGAGGGGGCUGCCCCCAGCUCUGCGGGACACCCUGGGCCUCACCGACUGCUGCCUGGAGGAGGAGAUGAACAAGGUGAUGAAACCCAGAAAUUCACUCAACAUUAGAGUCCGAUGUAACUGUUCAGCAGGGGGUGGAAGGCCCGGGCUUGGCUUUCAUCGUCUUCACGGAGACGCUGACGCUGCUGCCGGUGGCCCCACUCUGGUCGUCCCUCUUCUUCCUCACGCUGCUGGGGCUGGGGCUGGGCACCAUGCUGGGCAUCGCCCAGGCCGUGCUCACGCCUCUGCUCGACGCCUUCCCCGUCCUGCGCCGCCGCCGCGCUCUGCUCACCGUGCUGUGCUGCAUCGGGGGCUUCGUGCUGGGGCUGCCCUUCGCACAGCGCUCCGGCAGCUACCUGGUGGCCGCUUUCGAUGACUACGUGGCCACACUGCCGCUGCUGGCCGUGGCCGCCUGCGAGGCCGUGGCUGUGGCCUGGGUCUAUGGGGCCGAGAGGUUUCUGGCUGUCGUGCGGGAGGUGACGGGCCAUCGGCCGUGGCGGCUCUACGGGCCCCUGUGGCGUUUUGGCAGCCCCGGGGCCCUGCUGGCUCUGCUGGGGG